rnacentral:rRNA from 1 species
GGCCCAGACUCCUACGGGAGGCAGCAGUGGGGAAUAUUGCACAAUGGGGGGAACCCUGAUGCAGCAACGCCGCGUGGGUGAAGAAGUACUUCGGUAUGUAAAGCCCUGUCAGCAGGGAAGAAAAUGACGGUACCUGACCAAGAAGCCCCGGCUAACUACGUGCCAGCAGCCGCGGUAAUACGUAGGGGGCAAGCGUUAUCCGGAUUUACUGGGUGUAAAGGGAGCGUAGACGGCCAGACAAGUCUGAAGUGAAGAUCCAGCGCUUAACGUUGGAAGUGCUUUGGAAACUGCCGGGCUAGAGUGCAGGAGGGGCAGGCGGAAUUCCUAGUGUAGCGGUGAAAUGCGUAGAUAUUAGGAGGAACACCAGUGGCGAAGGCGGCCUGCUGGACUGCAACUGACGUUGAGGCUCGAAGGCGUGGGGAGCAAACAGGAUUAGAUACCCGCGUAC